rnacentral:rRNA from 1 species
CCCCUAGAUGUUCUGGGCCGCACGCGCGCUACACUGAACAGUUCAACAAGUCUUAACCUUGGCCGAUAGGUCUGGGUAAUCUUUGAACGCUGUUCGUGAUUGGGAUAGACCUUUGCAAUUAUGGGUCUUCAACGAGGAAUUCCUAGUAAACGCAAGUCAUCAGCUUGCAUUGAUUACGUCCCUGCCCUUUGUACACACCGCCCGUCGCACCUACCGAUUGAAUGGUCCGGUGAAAUCUCGGGACGGCGGCUUGGUCGCUUGCGUCCGACUGCUGAAACUUGAUUAAACGAUAUCAUUUAGAGGAAGGUGAAGUCGUAACA